rnacentral:rRNA from 1 species
GUGGGGAAUAUUGGACAGUGGGCGAAAGCCUGAUCCAGCCAUGCCGCGUGUGUGAAGAAGGUCUUCGGAUUGUAAAGCACUUUAAGUUGGGAGGAAGGGCAGUAAGUUAAUACCUUGCUGUUUUGACGUUACCGACAGAAUAAGCACCGGCUAACUUCGUGCCAGCAGCCGCGGUAAUACGAAGGGUGCAAGCGUUAAUCGGAAUUGCUGGGCGUAAAGCGCGCGUAGGUGGUUUUGUAAGUUGGAGGUGAAAUCCCCGGGCUCAACCUGGGAACUGCCUCCAAAACUGCAUGACUAGAGUACGGUAGAGGGUAGUGGAAUUUCCUGUGUAGCGGUGAAAUGCGUAGAUAUAGGAAGGAACACCAGUGGCGAAGGCGACUACCUGGACUGAUACUGACACUGAGGUGCGAAAGCGUGGGGAGCAAACAGGAUUAGAUACCCCUGUAGUCC